rnacentral:rRNA from 1 species
CUCGUAGGCGGUUUGUCGCGUCUGUCGUGAAAGUCCGGGGCUUAACCCCGGAUCUGCGGUGGGUACGGGCAGACUAGGGUGCAGUAGGGGAGACUGGAAUUCCUGGUGUAGCGGUGGAAUGCGCAGAUAUCAGGAGGAACACCGAUGGCGAAGGCAGGUCUCUGGGCUGUAACUGACGCUGAGGAGCGAAAGCAGUGGGGAGCGAACA